rnacentral:rRNA from 1 species
CCUACGGGAGGCAGCAGUGGGGAAUCUUGCGCAAUGGGCGAAAGCCUGACGCAGCCAUGCCGCGUGAAUGAUGAAGGUCUUAGGAUUGUAAAAUUCUUUCAGUAGGGACGAUAAUGACGGUACCUACAGAAGAAGCCCCGGCUAACUUCGUGCCAGCAGCCGCGGUAAUACGAAGGGGGCUAGCGUUGCUCGGAAUUACUGGGCGUAAAGGGAGCGUAGGCGGGUUAUCAAGUUGGAGGUGAAAGCCCAGGGCUCAACCUUGGAAUUGCCUUCAAAACUGAUAGCCUAGAGUAUGAUAGAGGUAUGUGGAACUCCGAGUGUAGAGGUGAAAUUCGUAGAUAUUCGGAAGAACACCAGUGGCGAAGGCGACAUACUGGGUCAUGACUGACGCUGAGGCUCGAAAGCGUGGGGAGCAAACAGGAUUAGAUACCCUGGUAGUCCACGCUGUAAACGAUGAUUGCUAGUUGUCGGACGGCAUGCCGUUCGGUGACGCAGCUAACGCAUUAAGCAAUCCGCCUGGGGAUACGGUCGCAAGAUUAAAACUCAAAAGAUAAGUUCGACGUCGAGAGACGCGACGACGACGACGACGGAGGGAGGAG